rnacentral:lncRNA from 1 species
UGUUUAGUUGAUACAACAUGAUAUAGUUGAACAUAUACUGUUUGUAUCAACUUUACAAGAAGCAGAGAACUUUUAAUAUUUUCAUCAAGACCUGUUCUCACUACAUGCAUGUUCUUGACUGAUGAUCCUUGCUUAAUUGCCAUUUGGAUACUUAGAAUGAUGCUUUAUGUUCUUGGGGUGAUGCUCCCAGUGCUAAGAUGUUCUCUUCAAUUGAAAGAAAUUAGACAUAGACAUCAUAUGCAAAAGAAGUAAUUUUUCUGAGGUAAGUCAUCAGCUGAUAACAUUCCAUAAAAUCUGGCACUGUUACACAAGGCAAACCUAUUACACAAUGAUCUAUGUACAAAUCCUGGAGUUGUAAGAUGAGAUAAUUGAUAACUUAUUCUGGUUCCAAUUUGAGAUAGGAAGGUUUUGUGGGUAGUAUCAAUCAGAGUUGGCUCUUGAGAAAGGCCUUGCAUAAUUUUUUCCAUGCCUCUCU